rnacentral:rRNA from 1 species
UUUGGUGGCGAUAGCGAAGAGGUCACACCCGUUCCCAUACCGAACACGGAAGUUAAGCUCUUCAAGCUCUUCAGCGCCGAUGGUAGUCGGGGGUUUCCCCCUGUGAGAGUAGGACGCCGCCAAGC